rnacentral:lncRNA from 1 species
GUUUAUGUUUACAAUUCAAAUACGUUUUAUAAUUUUUAUUAUAUUUAUAUUUUUAUAAUUUAUAUUAUUAUAUAUAUCAAAUACGAUAUAAAUACACAAAUUAUUAGCUUUAAUUCACAAAACGGGUUGAGUAGGAAUUUUACUUUGUUUUGAAACGGCGCCGAUUCAACUUAAUAUGAAGCCACAAAAUCUUGUUCCUUCCCUUUGUCAUUCCCUUUCUCUCUCUGUAUCUUCUCUCUUGUGUUCUUCUCUCUAUCCGAAUUCAGGAACAAGACUAUUGGUUAUCCCAAACCCAGAUACUAAAGGAAUCUCGCCGUUACCGCCUUUUGUCACCGUGUCGGCAGUCGAACGCCAGUAACCAUAAUUCUUCCGAACCUUGUCUUUAACUCCUGAACAUCCCAUGAGACUAUCUUCCCCUGUUGAAUUCCUCCGAUCUGUUUUUUGAUUUCGGGAUUUUCUCUGAAACUGGUCUGGUGUUCCUAGAUUUAAACUCCUAUGCUUGCUUUUAUGGUGACUUUGCUUGCUUAUUCUUUUAUGACCGCUGAUCACUUCGUCCGAGGAGUUUUUAUUUGAUGGUUGAUUCCUGGGUAGCUGUUUUCUGCUAAUGAAUUGCAGGCGUUCUGGGCUGCCUCUGCUCGCUGCUUCUGUCGUGCUUCCGCUGGCCGCCAGUGACCAGAAAGCCCUUUUUCCGAAUCUCCUCUUCCUUCUUUUCACUAUGGCUAACUCUGUUCGUAAAAAAAAAAAAACCCCCUUCGUAGAGCCACUUAGAUUUAAACCCAAAAUCAAAUCCGCCACCACCAGAACUCCUUCAACCGUUGAAUCAAAGCCACCAAAAAGUCUUUAACUUCCUUCUUACCUUUUCUCUAGUAUUCAAAUUGCAAAACCCCAGAAAUCUUCCCAAAAGGCAAAUUCCAAUCGAAACUCAAAAUCAAAAAGAUCUCGUGAAAACUUCUUUCAAUUUUUAUUUUAUUUUAUUUUUUCUGCUUGUGGUGAUUGUCACUGUUUUGAUGCUUGAUUAUUGACAGGUUUGUUGGGUGGAUUCGGGUUUUUGUCUUGGUUCUUGCUGCUGGGAAUUGGUUUGUGUUUAGGUUUCCUUGCUGGGUUUAGGCUCUAAGAUUAUUGCUUGAUAAAUGCUUCUGUCAAUCGUACUUGAGUUGUUGAAUUCUGGUUAAGGCUGUUUGAUGGGGAAUUAGGUUUUUUGGCUUUGGAGAAGAGUAUGGGUAAAAGUGGAUUAAUGACUGGGCGUGGCUAAUCGCGGUGAGAAAUUGCUCACUGGCUCUGUUGAAUCUUAUCCCAUUGAGCUGCUAAUGAGUUGUUUUUAUAACAAAUUUCAGUCCAAAAAUUUGUAAGAAAGAUUUAGAGGAAUCGAAUCUAUCAAGAUUCGAUUUUAACUUUGCAUAAUUUUCUUAUAUUUUUCGUAAAAAUUGGUUCCAAGUAUUGUCAAAUUCAAGCUCACAGAAUUUUAAAGAAAAUUCAUAGAAUCAAAAUUUCCUAACAUUUUUUAAUGUUAAAAAACCAAAAAAAAUAAAUAAAUAAAUAAAAAAUACUUUUCAAUAUUUAAAUUUUAGCUUAAAAAAUGACUUUUAAAAUUUAAUAUUAAAAUAACUUUUAAAAUCUAAUAUUAAAAUAUAAUUUGAGAUUCAAUAAUAUCAAAAGAUUUUGAACAAAAUUGAGUUUUUAUGGUUAUAUUUUUUUACACGUUUUUUGUAAAAUAGGAAAGAUACAAAAAUAAAUAUAGUUAUUUUGUUUGGCUUAAAAAAAUUUAAAAAGGUUUUUUCUUAAUAAAGAUUAGGAAAAUUUGAAAAUCUCAUUUGAAAAUCUUUCAUUGCAUUUUGAGAUUUUGGCAAUAAACCUAAAAUUGUAUUCAAAAGUUUUAAAGAUGAGAUACUUGAAAGUUUUGAAAAAAAGAUAUUGGAGGGUUUUAAAAAUGAUUUUUGAAAGGUUUUAAGGUGUAUUUAGAAAUUUUAGAAAAAAGAUACCCAGAGAUUUUGAAAAUGAUUUUUGAAAGAUGAUGGACAGAGGUUUUUAAAAAGAGAUAUUUGAAGGUUUUGAAAAGAAGUAUUUAAAAGUUGUUUGGAAAAUGAUAAUUGAAAGUUUUAAAGAUGAUACCCGAAGGUUUUUAGAAUGAUAUUCAAAGAUUUUUAAAGAUGAUACCUAGAGACUUUCAAAAGUUUACUUUUUAUGGAUUAUGUAUGUAAGUUCUAUAAAUCAUGCUUGAAGGUCUUAAAGAUUAUUCUAAUUUUUGAAUAAUCUCCUCCUUAAUAGAAAUUUUGAUAAUCUUAUCUAAAACUUAUCUAAAAAGGUACUUGUAGGUUUUAGGGAUCAUACCUUAAGGUUUUGUAAGUCAUUAUCAUCUUUGAAAAAGGUUCUCCUUAAUAGACUUUUUGGAACUUAAAAUUAAAAAUAAAAAAAGC